rnacentral:rRNA from 1 species
UACGUAGGGUGCAGGCGUUAAUCGGAAUUACUGGGCGUAAAGCGUGCGCAGGCGGUCUUUUAAGUCAGAUGUGAAAUCCCCGGGCUUAACCUGGGAACUGCGUUUGAAACUGGAAGGCUUGAGUGUGGCAGAGGGGGGUGGAAUUCCACGUGUAGCAGUGAAAUGCGUAGAGAUGUGGAGGAAUACCGAUGGCGAAGGCAGCCUCCUGGGCCAACACUGACGCUCAUGCACGAAAGCGUGGGGAGCAAACAGG